rnacentral:rRNA from 1 species
UACGGAGGGUGCAAGCGUUAUCCGGAUUUACUGGGCGUAAAGCGCGCGCAGGCGGCUAUCCAAGUCAGUGGUGAAAGCCCGGAGCUUAACUCCGGAACUGCCAUUGAAACUGUUUAGCUUGAGGACGAGAGAGGUGAGUGGAAUUCCCAGUGUAGAGGUGAAAUUCGUAGAUAUUGGGAAGAACACCGGUGGCGAAGGCGGCUCACUGGCUCGUUUCUGACGCUCAGGCGCGACAGCGUGGGGAUCAAACAGG